rnacentral:tRNA from 1 species
GGCGCUGUGGCUCAGGUGGUAGAGCUCUAGCCUUGAGCUGAGUAGAGCGCUUGCCUUGCAUGCAUGAGGCCCUGGGUUCGAUUCCUCAGCACCA